rnacentral:lncRNA from 1 species
CCGGCAGUGUCUGGACCUAGUGGGUCUUCAAGAAAGGUCUGUUAGUGGGAGGAGAAGUGGCAGCAGUGACCUAGGCAGACAGACUUGGAACAUGUGGCAGGAUUUCCAACCGCCUGCUCCUUCCCAUAGCCAGAGGCAGAGAGAAGUGGAGCUCCUGCCCUAGGCCAGCCCACCUCUCCUGCCUUCCAUGCUCUGCGAGA